rnacentral:rRNA from 1 species
AUUGAACGCUGGCGGCAUGCUUUACACAUGCAAGUCGAACGGUAACAGGUCUUCGGAUGCUGACGAGUGGCGAACGGGUGAGUAAUACAUCGGAACGUGCCUAGUAGUGGGGGAUAACUACUCGAAAGAGUAGCUAAUACCGCAUGAGAUCUACGGAUGAAAGCAGGGGACCUUCGGGCCUUGUGCUACUAGAGCGGCUGAUGGCAGAUUAGGUAGUUGGUGGGGUAAAGGCUUACCAAGCCUGCGAUCUGUAGCUGGUCUGAGAGGACGACCAGCCACACUGGGAAUGAGACACGGCCCAGACUCCUACGGGAGGCAGCAGUGGGGAAUUUUGGACAAUGGGCGAAAGCCUGAUCCAGCAAUGCCGCGUGCAGGAUGAAGGCCCUCGGGUUGCAAACUGCUUUUGUACGGAACGAAAAGCCUGGGGCUAAUAUCCCCGGGUCAUGACGGUACCGUAAGAAUAAGCACCGGCUAACUACGUGCCAGCCGCCGCCGCGGUAA